CAGGAAGCGGUGGAGAAGCUAGAUUCAAGUGGGCAAGACUAAAGGUGGGGUGACUAGUGGGAGGCUGGCUCUUUAGUGCAGGCCAGACAGUAGAGGGCUACAGUGGUGGGGAUGAAGAAUAGGAGAUUUAUAUUUGAAAGACAUUUGAUUUGAUUUGAUUAUAAUCUCAACAUUUAUUUUAGCUUCAGGGGUACAUGUGAAGGUUUUUUACCUGGGUAUAUUGUGUGAUGCUGAGGUUUGGGGUAUGACUGAUCCUGUCACUCAGGUACUGAGCACUGUUCCCAAUAGGUGGUUUUCUAAUCCUUGCCCCAAUCCCUCCGUCCCUCCCAGUUCCAGUGGUCCUCAGUGUCUAGUGUUGCCAUCUUUAUGUCCAUGUGUAUUCAACAUUUAGCUCCCACUUAUAAGUGAGAACAUGUGGUUUUUGGAUUUCUAUUCCUGCGUUAAUCUGCCUAGGAACUAAUGGCCUCCAGCUGCAUCUAUGUUGCUGCAAAACACAUGAUUUCGUUCUGUCUUUAUGGCUGCGCAGUAGUCCAUGGUGUAUAUUUACCACAUUUUCUUUAACCAGUCUGCCUCUGAUGGGCACCUAGGUUGAUUCUGUGUCUGCUAGAGUGAAAAGUUCUGCAAUUAACCUGUGAGUGGAGGUGUCUUUAUGGUAGAACAAUUUAUUUUCUUUUGGAUAUAUACCCAGUAAUGGGAUUGCUGGGUUGAAUGGUGGUUCUACCUUAAGUUCUUUUUUUUUUUCUUUUGGGACAGAAAGUGCCCUAUAAUCCCAGCCACACAGGAGGCUGAGGCAGAAGAAUUGCUUGAACCUGGGAGGCGGAGGUUGCAGUGAGCUGAGAUCACACCAAUGCACUUCAGCCUGGGUGACAGAGUAAGACUCUGUCUCAAAACAGAAGAAGAAGAAAAAGCUUGCCGAUUGCCAAUUGCCGAUUUUGCAGCAGGGUCACACACAGAGCAUGUAACCAAGGUGGAUUCAGCUGCACUGAAGAUCAGUUGCCCCAACCCCGUGAAGUUGACUGUGCCCAAGUUAAGAAUACCUAGUGGAAUGUGGUCCUUGUUACCUGAGGAGCGAAGGUGCGUCUGUUCGGGCUGUCACUCCGUCUGUUUUGCAGCACCUCGCUCAAAUCCACCUAAUGACACUGUGCCUUCCUUCCACACACCAUCUCCUCUGGGACUGCGUUUCCCUUUGUGACCACACUCUUUC
ensembl:lincRNA